rfam:Trichobilharzia regenti genome assembly, scaffold: TRE_scaffold0024136
AUCCAGCUGACGAGUCCUAAAUGGGACGAAACGCGCUUUAUCCUAGAU